CAACGCCGCGUGGAGGAUGAAGCCCCUUGGGGCGUAAACUCCUUUCGAUCGGGACGAUAAUGACGGUACCGGAAGAAGAAGCCCCGGCUAACUUCGUGC
rnacentral:rRNA from 1 species